rnacentral:lncRNA from 10 species
AGAAAUUUGAGGGACCUGACGGUGCACAAGUGGAUAAGUAAGCUUUGGAGCCACUGUGAACCACAGUUUGGUGACAUUGAGAAGAGAAGUGGAAGAAGCAAUCCUGUGGAACCCUUUAUUCAAAGCAUAUCUUGCUCCAAUUUGAAAAAGAAGGCAGCUAAGUUGAAGAGGAGCCAAGACCCAGCCCACUUCCCCCUUCCCAUACAACAGCCCCUGAAACCCCUCGGAGGGAAUUCUUAGGGCUCAACACGGCUGAAAAACUGCUGACCUCGACUGUCUACUGGAGUAAAAGUGAAGAAUGCAGUUUGUUCAGAGACAAACUGAUGUUGCCUAGGCUUUGUUCCAAUGUUAGAAAGGGAGGGCACAGCUAAGGAACAGACAAUAGAAACCAUUAAACAGAUAGAUACCUCAGGGCGAUUUUUCAUCAGACAAUGAAAGUGAUGCUUUGUGUUCCUCAACAUUGUAUCUUAUUUUUACUUUCAAAUAACAUGUACAGGAUGGGAAACCUUAGUGUUAAUAUUGGGGGUAAUUCUCACUAAGCUUAGGUUAAUUUUUUGUUUUCAAAUUCUGUUUUUUCUAGUUUCGUUUUAACUGUGACAAACCUUUUCCUAGUCUCCCUUAAACUCUGCCCAAUCAAGAACUGACUAUACUUCCCUCUUGCUAGCCUAUUGUAUUAUGUACAUUUCCUUCUCACCACCAGAUUGUUAAGCUCCUUUAGGGAGGAAAAUGUUUCUUUUCAUGUAUGUAUCCCUCGCACCUACACAGGACUUGUCAAUUGUUAAUAAAUAUUUGCUAAAUAAAUGGCACUAGCAGAGACAGAAUAGCUACGAGGCCCCUACAACAACAACCACCCCACAAAUGGGAAUUCAGACUGUGUGGUGGUAGGUAAGAAAGAGGCUUUGGACCUGAUUUGAAUGCAAGUUAUGUAAAC